CUGGGAAAGGGAAAGGCAAGCACCUCUUGGAAGAGGCUGCGGAGGUCGCCCGGCAGCGCGAAGAGGUGUGCUGAGACCCAAGGCAGGACCUUCAGAGCUCUGGAAGAAGAGGCGCAAGUGACACCGAGGAGGGCCAGCUGAGCGGGGAAAGGACACUCGAUGCUCUGUCCGGUCCCGGCCCUCCGGGGAUCAGGUCGGCCCCCGACCCCGCAGGUCGCUCUCCUAAGCAGGCCUGGCAGCCCAGGCCAACUCCAGCCCAAUGACAGAUUGCGCAGAGGAGGUUGGAACUGUGCACCCUAUUAUCUUAAUACAAGAAAGGAAGUAUAGUAGCACUGAGUUCUCAAAACUCUGUUGAUGAUACACUUGGGAACGCAAAGAGCC